rnacentral:misc_RNA from 1 species
GAUGAAGAACGUAGCAAAAUGCGAUACUUGGGGUGAAUUGCAGAAUCCCGUGAACCAUCGAGUUUUUGAACGCAAGUUGCGCCCGAAGCCUUUUGGCCGAGGGCACGUCUGCCUGGGCGUCACGCAUCGCGUCGCCCCCCACAAUUCUCCGUAAAGGGAACAUGUGUUUUGGGGGCGGAUAUUGGUCUCCCGUGCUCAUGGCGUGGUUGGCCGAAAUAGGAGUCCUUUCGAUGGACGCACGAACUAGUGGUGGUCGUAAAAACCCUCGUCUUUUGUUUCGUGCUGUUGCUCGCAAGGUAAACUCUUUAAAAACCCCAAUGUGCCGUCUCUUGACGACGCUUCGACCGCGACCCCAGGUCAGGCGGGACUACCCGCUGAGUUUAAGCAUAUCAAUAAGCGGAGGA